UGAAAAUAUAGAGCCUAUGGUCUUGCCCUAUUUUUAUUGUCUACUCUAUACAGUAAAAAAAAAAGAAAAAAAAAAGCUUUUUGUGUAUGGACCACUACGACCCUCCCCCUAAACAAAAAAAGAACAAAAAUAGUUGAUCCAGAAAAAGGAAGGAAGUGGAGCGUUUUUUCAACAUCAUAAGGGGGGCUGUGUCCCUAUUCCCCACUGUGUGCUUACCUCCCGACAUUUAUAGCCCAGAGGGCCUUGCUAAAGACCUCUAGCUGGAAGAACUGCGCACAAAGAAGAAGCAGGAGGAAGCAGUCUGUCAGACCAAGAAGAUGAUGUUGUGCGAGAGAUGGGACACCUGAAUAACAGGAGAGAAUCAUACAAAUAAUAUGGUCCAGGAGAGACAAUGGGGAGGUCCUCGGGAUGGAAACAACAGGAUGAGACCGCUACUUAUGUGUUUGAAGUGAACCCAUUGACUGUGUAUCAUGGUAACUCCUGUUUGAAGGAGGCUGCAGGUUUGCUUAGCAUUCUUUAUUGUUGGUAUAUCUAAGUAUAAAAUAUA
ensembl:lncRNA